rnacentral:rRNA from 1 species
UUGACCUCAAAUCAGGUAGGACUACCCGCUGAACUUAAGCAUAUCAAUAAGCGGAGGAAAAGAAACUAACAAGGAUUCCCCUAGUAACUGCGAGUGAAGCGGGAAAAGCUCAAAUUUAAAAUCUGGCGGUCUUGCGGCCGUCCGAGUUGUAAUCUGGAGAAGCGUUUAUCCGCGUCGGACCGUGUACAAGUCUUCUGGAAGGGAGCGUCGUAGAGGGUGAGAAUCCCGUCUUUGACACGGACAACCGGUGCUUU